ACUGUGAAGCCUGGACGCUAGUUCGGGUGGAGUCAUCGUUGAAAUACCACUCUGGUCACUCUGGAUAUCUAACUUCGGCCCGUAAUCCGGGUCAGGGACAGUGCCUGAUGGGUAGUUUAACUGGGGCGGUUGCCUCCUAAAAAGUAACGGAGGCGCCCAAAGGUUCCCUCAGCCUGGUUGGCAAUCAGGUGGCGAGUGUAAGUGCACAAGGGAGCUUGACUGUGAGAGAGACAUCUCAAGCAGGGACGAAAGUCGGGACUAGUGAUCCGGCGGCACAUUGUGGAAUGGCCGUCGCUCAACGGAUAAAAGGUACCUCGGGGAUAACAGGCUGAUCUUGCCCAAGAGUCCAUAUCGACGGCAUGGUUUGGCACCUCGAUGUCGGCUCGUCGCAUCCUGGGGCUGGAGUAGGUCCCAAGGGUUGGGCUGUUCGCCCAUUAAAGCGGUACGCGAGCUGGGUUUAGAACGUCGUGAGACAGUUCGGUCCCUAUCCGCUGCGCGCGCAGGAAAUUUGAGAAGGGCUGUCCUUAGUACGAGAGGACCGGGACGGACGAACCUCUGGUGUGUCAGUUGUACUGCCAAGUGCACCGCUGAUUAGCUACGUUCGGAUGGGAUAACCGCUGAAAGCAUCUAAGCGGGAAGCCUGCUUCAAGAUGAGAUUUCCAUACACCUUGAGUGUGAGAGGCCCCCAGCCAGACCACUGGGUUGAUAGGCCGGAUGUGGAAGCAAGGACUAACGACUUGCGAAGCUGACCGGUACUAAUAAGCCGAUAACUUACACCA
rnacentral:rRNA from 1 species